UACGGGGGGAGCAAGCGUUGUUCGGAUUUACUGGGCGUAAAGGGCGCGUAGGCGGCCACCGCAAGUCGACUGUGAAAUCUCCGGGCUUAACCCGGAAAGGUCAGCCGAUACUGCGGGGCUAGAGUGCAGAAGGGGCAACUGGAAUUCCAGGUGUAGCGGUGAAAUGCGUAGAUAUCUGGAGGAACACCGGUGGCGAAGGCGGCAUCCUGGACCAACACUGACACUGAGGAGCGAAAGCCAGGGGAGCAAACGGG
rnacentral:rRNA from 1 species